AUUGAACGCUGGCGGCAUGCUUUACACAUGCAAGUCGAACGGUAACAGGCCGCAAGGUGCUGACGAGUGGCGAACGGGUGAGUAAUGCAUCGGAACGUGCCCAGUCGUGGGGGAUAACUACUCGAAAGAGUAGCUAAUACCGCAUACGAUCUAUGGAUGAAAGCGGGGGACCGUAAGGCCUCGCGCGAUUGGAGCGGCCGAUGUCAGAUUAGGUAGUUGGUGGGGUAAAGGCUCACCAAGCCAACGAGCUGUAGCUGGUCUGAGAGGACGACCAGCCACACUGGGACUGAGACACGGCCCAGACUCCUACGGGAGGCAGCAGUGGGGAAUUUUGGACAAUGGGCGCAAGCCUGAUCCAGCAAUGCCGCGUGCAGGAAGAAGGCCUUCGGGUUGUAAACUGCUUUUGUACGGAACGAAACGGCUCUGGUUAAUACCCGGGGCUAAUGACGGUACCGUAAGAAUAAGCACCGGCUAACUACGUG
rnacentral:rRNA from 1 species